GAUGUGUUCUAACUGUUAUAUUUCACCAAAAAUCCAUGUUUGUUGAUAUUUUGUUAUUUAUUUUCAUAUAAAUCUGGUUUUGUGUGUAUUUAUUUUGGGGAGCUUUUAUUUUGUUAAUUUUAUUCUGGCGGUGUGACCAGUUGCCUGUUAGUGAUGUCACUUCCUGUAUUCUCCUCAGUAGCGGUACGCUAUGGUGAGGAGAGGUGUGCUAUGUGCGUGUAGGAACCCAGAGCUGCUGUACUGAUUUAAUUGUGUGUUGUACACAGGUAUGCAAAAUAAAACCCCCGUUCAACUGGCAAAGCAGAAGAUGUCUGUCGUCCAUUACUACGCAUACUGAAAUUGAGGGAGUGUCAGGCCAGACCGGCUACAGUGGUGCCGUGACCCGGAUCCACACUGCUUCAGGCUGUUUCGCCGCUGCGUCUGGAGUCGUGGAUCAACACCAGUUUGGUCACCAGAGGUUGCUACUUGACACUCAUUCAUGUUACAAGUUAUUUAUAGCAUUGGAAGAAAAAAAGAAAAGAGGAAAAAGGGGUUUUGAAACUGUUCAUUCUGCUUUUGCUGUCUUAAGAGUAAAAGUUGUCGUUUCAACAUAUUGUAUUGUGUAUCUAAGUGUACAGAUAAAA